CCUAGCCGAGCUGUCCUUCCCUCUGCCUCGACCCCAGUGGCAACAUCGUCCAUGGAUCUUUCCCCUCACCCCACACCCGGACGGUUCCUCCCGCUGGGUCUUUCCCGCAACCCUGAUGAUAGGCCUGGGGCGGUGGGCCUUUCACCUCCCCACGGAAGGGCCCUCUGAAGGGAGCGGCAGGCAAAGCAGUUCGAAGUUGGUGGAGACUUCGGCGUCUUGCAGCCAGAGAGGGCAGAGGUGAGAAAUGGCGCGUCCUGCUCGUGUGCCCACGACGGCCUGGCUCGGGAACGCGGCGCCAUUUCAGCUGACAGCAGAGCGAGUGGAGCUCUAGGCAGACCUACAGGAGUCCAGUAAAUGAAUUUGGAAUUGAACUCGGGACCUUGUGAUUUCGAAGCAGGAGCCGGAACCACUGAGCUAAAUCCCUGGCUACAAGUGUUUUUUCUUGGUAUUAUGCAGCUCUGUCUUUGGACCAUCAUCUCUCCAGACUAUGCUUGGUGCCUGGCACACAGAACCAACACAGGCACUCCCAGGACCUCAGAAGCUGUCAGGAUCUCUCCCCACCAGCAAGCCGGCAGUCAGCACUCUCAGCCCUGACCCUCUGUGCAAGGAGAUUCAGUCCCCAAGGCACCCCGCCCCGGCCAAUGCCAGUCACAGCCUCCAGAUUGUUUCACUUGUGCUUCUGAGGACCAGGUGUAAUUGGAUGCUUACAACUUUUGUUUUUUGUUUCUGUUUUGGUACCAAGGAUCAAAGUUGGGACCUUGCGCUUGCAAGGCAGGCAGCGGUACCACUGAGCUAAUCCCUGGCCCUGGAUACUUACAACUUUUGGCUCCUCUGAUUCAGUUAAUUUACAGAAUUCAGGGAAACUUGUAAUGUUUACUGGUUGGUUGGUUGAUUGAUUGACUGAUUGACUGAUUUUGAAACAGGGCCUCACUAUGUAGCCCAAGCUGGCCUUGAACUCAUGGCAAUCCUCCUGCCUCAGCCUCCUGAGUGCUGGGAUUGCAGGUAUGCACUACCCCAUCUGGCAUUUACUCGUUUAUAAUAAAGGAAAAGUACACAGAUGAAUCAAUUACAUGGGGUGAGGUGUGGGAAGGGACAUGGAGUUUCCAUGCCCUGUUGAGGGUGCCAUCCUCUGGCAACUCUCACACAUUCAGUCAUCUGGAAGCUCCCCAAAUCCUGUCCUUGGGGGUUUUAUGGAAACUUUAUUGUGUAUCUAACACUUAAUAGACUGGGUGGGGAAACGCGUGCAGGCUGGUCUGUCUAGAUUCUUCUUGGCCUCUAUAGGUUCCUUCUUCCAGGGCAUGAGACAGUGCCCUUCCACACUUGAGAUCUUAUUGACAUAGGAGCUUAGGGUCUGAGAAAGCUGGCUGGGGAAGUAGAUGUGACCUGUUAAUUACAAGAUCCCAGAACAUAUGUGCUGAACAGCUCCCAAAGCCCUGCACAUGGACUUCUGAGCAGGUUUUCAAAAGGAUGGCCUAGACCUGCCAUCAGCCUUGAGGUGGGAUCCUAGCACCGGCUCUCCAGACACAUAGGUAGAAGUUCUCACCAGUUUCCUUGAGAUAUGGACAGUACAAAAGGACACAGACACCAAGAAGUGUGCUCUAUCAGGGCUUUCCUCAUGACAGCCUGCCUUUCUUCCUCCAGGGUAUGCUUUUAUUUUGCUUUUGCCUCUUUCACUAGAUCGAAGUGCACUCUGCAGAGUCAGUUUCUCUCUUACUCUUCAUUUUUAAUUUUUCAAAUAAACUUUACCACUGCCUUUUGCUCAUUUUGUUAAAUUCUUUGUUUGAGACAAGAAGAAUCCAGAAUCUAACUUCAGAAGGAGAGGCAAUCAACCCAGAACUCUGUAAUGUUUGUUUAUUUGGCAAGCCAUGUUUAGAAGGAGCAACCCGAUGACAUUAUCAGAAAGAGGUGGAGCGGGCUGCAGUUCCUAUGAUCCACCUGGGGGAGGGGGUACUACCCAGGAACCAUGGACAAAAUCCAAAAUCUGUAUCUCAUAGCCCAGAAGGCUCUUGCAUCAUACAGACAAGGUGGAAUAGUGUGUCCUAGUUUGCUUGGGCUGCUGUAACAAAAUACUGCAACCGAGAGACCUUGAAACACUGGAGCUUUGCAUCUCACAGUUCUGGAGGCUGGGAAGCCGGUGGUCAAGGUGUCAGCACAUCUGAUGUCUGGUGAGGGCAGCUUCCUGAGCAGAGCCACCACUUCCUAGGUAUGUCCACAAGAGGAAAGAGGGAUCUAAAUGCCUGCAGUCUCUUUAGGAGGGCACUAAUCCCAAAAGAAUGUGAAAGAGAACACUUUUGACAACACUUUUUUUUUUCUCAACACUUUUGACACCAAAUGUGUGGGUUUUCUCAUUCAGUAGUUGUCCAGUUCUCUGGCACACAGCAACUAGGUGUCCCUUGAUUUAGUUCAGUUCUGACACUAGCUACCUGGAGCCAGCACCGAUGCACAGGUCAGGGUCUGACACAAGGCUUUCCCUGCCUUGAGACACUCAGUGGAAGUAUUGGAUGCUGCUAUAGUUUCAAUCUUAAAUUAAAUGUCUCUCAAAGGGACAUUUAUUUUUAUUUUUAUUUAUUUAUUUUUUUGGACAUUUAUUUUUUUAUUAUUAUUAUUUUUUUGAAAUAGGAUCUCACUUUGUAGUGGGGACUGGCCUUGAAAUCAAAGUGAUCCUCCUGCCUUAGCCUCUCAAGUGCUGAGGUUAUAGGGGUGUGCCACCACGCAUGGCUUCAAAGGGACAUUUAUUAAAGGUCUUGUCCCUAGGGUGGCUCUAAUGUGAGGAAAUGGAGCCAUUAGGAGGUCAGGCCUGGUGGGAGGUCUCAGGUUCCUGGGGACAUGCUCCUGAAGAGGACUUCAGGACCCCAGCUCUUCCUCAUGUGGUGCAGGCCACGGUCACAAUCUCGCUGCUUGACACAGCUCCAGUGAAACAGAGACUAUGGCUGAAACCAGGACUCCGUCUUUUGCUUUCGCUUUCCUCGGUAGUAAUUACCUUGGUGCUGUACUCCCCGGAAAUCACUGAAAGGAUAAAAGUCAUUACUUCGGAAAUGGUUACUAGGCCGGGAUUACAGGAAGAAAUUGUAAAUCCAUUUACAGAAAAGCCCCUCACUCAUACCUCCGUGAGUAGUGGGGACGUGACAUCCAUAUGCCCUGACUGUACAAAGGGAAAUUGGGACAUCAACAAAUUCAUGACGCAGGUGCCCCACUGUCUGGCACCUGGUCACCCUUGGCCAACACCCGCAGGGCACACAACAAUGAGAUCUGAUGAAACUUGGCCUAAUGAGGUAGCCUGACCUUUCUAAAAUGCUUCUUGUUCCUCAAAUGUAAAUCUGAUAAAUUAGCAAGAGUUCAUGUAGCACCCAGAGGAGUACUUAGAACUGGGUGGUCUAAAAUGGUUUUUUAGAUGCUAUCAGCUUUUCCUUAACUCUGUAUGAAAACACACUGUGUAUGGACCCACAUGCUUACCAAAGCCUUGUGUAAUCAAAACAUAUAUAAGUAAAGUGAUUUCGGUAUAACUCAGACAGGCAAGCUGAGCUGCCGACCCUCCACUCAGUGUCUGUUUCAUUCUCUUGUCGCCAACUCCACACCUUCUCUCAGGACCUGAACCCGCUGGAGCUGGACUCCGGCACUCAUGUUUUUCCACUUCCUGGCCAUGAGGUGCCAGAAUCACUGAGCUAAAUCCCCAACCCUUGAUUGGUGUUUUGACAAGAGUAUGCCUGAGUGCUGAAGAGGAGGCACAGCAACAGAAAAAGCACAGGAAAGUGCAAUGACAGCUCUACUACUCCAGAUCCUGCCAGGCCCAGUCACUGGGAGUAAAGCCAAGGUCUUCACAGCACUUCCCUGCCCAAGUCAUAAUCACCUUUGCUCCCUCUGUUUUUUCAUCUCCUGUCACCUCCCUCUCACUUCCUCUGUGUGGUCCCAAGAGCACCUGGCAUACCCCUGCCACUGGGCCUUUGCACAGGCUGCUUCCUCUGCCGGACUAGGGCUUCUCAGUGUUGGCACUGUGACUGGCCCAGUGAUUCUGUGUGGUGGAGGUUUGUUCUGUGCAUGGUGUGAUGUUUAGCAGCAUCCUGACUCUGCCCUUAGGAGCCAGGAGUACACGCCUACCCCUUCCUAUGUGAAACUGUCUCCAGACAGCGGAAAACACCCUGGAUUUGAAGGUGUGGUCUUGUCCUGGAGCAUUACAGCAUCCGGGGAUC